rnacentral:lncRNA from 1 species
AGAGAACAAACCCACUUUGACUGUAAUUUUCCUUUACCUACCCAAAUCCUAUAAAACGGCCCCACCAUUAUCUCCCUUCACUGACUCUCUUUUUGGACUCAGCCCGCCUGCACCCAGGUGAAAUAAACAGCCAUGUUGCUCACACAAAGCCUGUUUGGUGGUCUCUUCACACAGACGUGCACGAAAUCUGGUGCCGUGACUCGGAUCGGGGGACCUCCCUUGGGAGAUCAUUCACCUGUACUCCUGUUCUUUGCUCCAUGACAAAGAUCCACCUAUGACCUCAGGUCCUCAGACCGACCAGCCCAAGGAAUAUCUCACCAAUUUUAAAUCAGGUAAGCGGCCUCUUCUUACUCUCUUCUCCAACCUCUCUCACUGUCCCUCAACCACUUUCUCCUUCCCACUCUUCAAUCUCUCCCUUCUCUUAAUUUCAAUUCCUUUCAUUUUCUGGGAGAGACAAAGGAGACACGGACACGUUUUAUCCGUGGACCAAAAACUCCGGCGCCGGUCACAGACUAGGAAGGCAGCCUUCCCUUGGUGUUUAAUCAUUGCAGAGAAGCCUCUCUGAUUAUACACUCAUGUUUCAAGGGUGUCAGACCACGCAAGGACGCCUGCCUUGGUCCUUCACCCUUAGCGGCAAGUCCUGCUUUUCUGGGGAAGGGGCAAGUACCCCAACCCCUUCUCUCCUUGUCUCUACCCCUUCUCUGCUUUUCUGGGAGAGGGGCAAGUACCCCUCAACCCCUUCUCCUUCACCCUUAGCGGCAAGUCCCGCUUUUCUAUGGGGCAAGAACCCCCAAUCCCUUAUUUCCACACCCCAACCUCUUAUCUCUGUGCCCCAAUCCCUUAUUUCCGUGCCCCAACCUUGUAUCUCUGUGCCCCAAUCCUGUUUCCGCGCCCCAACCUCUUAUGUCUCCGCGCCCCAAUCCCUUAUUUCUGCACCCCGACCUCUUAUCUCUGUGCCCCAACCCCUUUUCCCACUUUUCUGGAAGGUAAGAACCCCCGAACCCCUUCCCACCAUUUCUCUACUCUCUCUUUUCUCUAGGCUUGCUUCCUUCACUAUGGGCAACCUUCCACCCUCCAUUCCUCCUUCUACUCCCUUGGCCUCUGUUCUCAAAAACUUAAAACCUCUUCAACUCACACCUGACCUAAAACCUAAAUGCCUUAUUUUCUUCUGCAAUGCCGCUUGACCCCAGUACAAACUCGACAGUAGUUCCAAAUAGCCAGAAACUGGCACUUUGAAUUUUUCCAUCCUGCAAAAUCUAAAUAAUUCUUGUCAUAAAAUAGGCAAACGGUCUAAGGUGCCUGACGUCCAGGCAUUCUUUCACACAUCAGUCCCUUCCUAGUCUCUGUGCCCAAUGCAACUCGUCCCAAAUCUUCCUUCUUUCCCUCCCGCCUGUCCCCUCAGCACCAACCCCAAGCGUCGCUGAGUCUUUCUAAUCUUCCUUUUCUACAGGCCCAUCUGACCUCUCCCUUCCUCCCCAGGCUGCUCCUCACCAGGCCGAGCUAGGUCCCAAUUCUUCCUCAGCCUCCGCUCCUCCACCCUAUAAUCUUUCUAUCACCUCCCCUCCUCACACCUGGUCCGGCUUACAGUUUCGUUCCCUAACUAGCCCUGCCCCUCCUGCCCAGCAAUUUACUCCUAAAAAGGUGGCUGGAGCUAAAGACAUAGUCAAGGUUAAUGCUCCUUUUUCUUUAUCCCAAAUCAGAAGCGUUUAGGCUCUUUUUCAUCAAAUAUAAAAACCCAGCCCAGUUCAUGACUUGUUUGGCAGCAACCCUGAGACGCUUUACAGCCCUAGACCCUAAAAGGUCAAAAGGCCGUCUUAUUCUCAAUAUGCAUUUUAUUACCCAAUCUGCUCCCGACAUUAAAUAAAACUCCAAAAAUUGGAAUCUGGCCCUCAAACCCCACAACAGGACUUAAUUAACCUCACCUUCAAGGUGUACAAUAACAGAAAAAAGUUGCAAUUCCUUGCCUCCACUGUGAGACAAACCCCAGCCACAUCUCCAGCACACAAGAACUUCCAAACGCCUGAACCGCAGCGGCCAGGCGUUCCUCCAGAACCUCCUCCCCCAGGAGCUUGCUACACUUGCCGGAAAUCUGGCCACUGGGCCAAGGAAUGCCCGCAGCCCGGGAUUCCUCCUAAGCCACGUCCCAUCUGUGUGGGACCCCACUGAAAAUCGGACUGUUCAACUCACCUGGCAGCCACUCCCAGAGCCUCUGGAACUCUGGCCCAAGGCUCUCUGACUGACUCCUUCCCAGAUCUUCUCGGCUUAGCGGCUGAAGACUGACACUGCCCGAUCGCCUCGGAAGCCCCCUAAACCAUCAGGGACACCGAGCUUCGGGUAACUCUCACAGU